rnacentral:rRNA from 1 species
AUUGAACGCUGGCGGCAGGCCUAACACAUGCAAGUCGAGCGGAGCGGCGGACGGGUGAGUAAUGCCUAGGAAUCUGCCUGGUAGUGGGGGAUAACGUCCGGAAACGGGCGCUAAUACCGCAUACUAUCAGAUGAGCCUAGGUCGGAUUAGCUAGUUGGUGGGGUAAAGGCCUACCAAGGCGACGAUCCGUAACGGGUCUGAGAGGAUGAUCAGUCACAAGGGAACUGAGACACGGGGCAGACGACUACGGGAGGCAGCAGUGGGGAAUAGUGGACAAUGGGCGAAAGUCUGAUGCAGCCAUGCGGCGUGUGUGAAGAAGGUCUUCGGAUUGUAAAGCACUUUAAGGUGGGAAGCGUGACCCACAGAAUAUGCACCGGCUAACUUCGUGCCAGCAGCCGCGGUAAUAC